rnacentral:misc_RNA from 1 species
UGAACAUUGUGAUGCCAGAGACACUGUAGCAGAAGAGCAAUUAAACAAUACUGAAGAACAAAAUAUCAAAUCCACUAGAGUUUCUGAAAACGUACCACUAGAGACAAGACGGAGCAUUUGCAGGGUUGCAAAUGCUGUCCGUGUAUUGUCAACUUUGGGCUUCAGUUUAACUUUAGAAGUGAUAUUGGAGGCCUUUAACUUGAGUAGCACUUUGAAUCUUGGUAUAGAUGAGAUGCUUGGGUCAGAGUUCCAUGUUUUGGUAGCAGAGAAAGAAGCUGAACGACGCAGUUCAUUGACCAAAAAGAAGAGAUGACGUUGAUCUCUUUUUGUGAUCGAUGAGUUCCUGGAGUUAUGUCAUUCUCGCAUGCUAAAAAAUGUAAUGUAUUUGAUGACAGCUGGGAAGGACUGUUUAGUGCAAUUAACAGGAAUUAUUUGCUCAGACUCGUGCAAUUUUCUGUGACUCAAUUAUAUGUUUGUUUAGUAGUCUAGCGCAUAUUGGUUUCCAAACCAACUUGAAAUAUC